UACACAUUAAUAGUGUAUUAGUUAACUUAUAGACAAAGACAUACAGACAGGUACAAAACAUAAACCCUUUUUUACAACUCAGAACUCAUUGUUCAGUAUGAAUUCUAACACACAUGAGGAUUAUC